GUAGUCUCGCACAGAUGCAUAUCAAUAAGCGGAGGAAAAGAAACUAACAAGGAUUCCCCUAGUAACGGCGAGUGAAGCGGGAAGAGCUCAAAUUUGAAAUCUUAAAGGGUUUCCCUUUACGAAUUGUAGUUUAAAGAAGUGUUUUCUGUUGAGGUUUUGGUAAAAGUUCUUUGGAAUAGGACAUCAUAGAGGGUGAGAAUCCCGUAUUUGACCUUUACUUUCAACUUUGUGAUACACUUUCAAAGAGUCGGAUUGUUUGGGAAUGCAGUCCAAAAUGGGUGGUAAAUUUCAUCUAAAGCUAAAUAUUGGCGAGAGACCGAUAGCGAACAAGUACCGUGAGGGAAAGAUGAAAAGAACUUUGAAAAGAGAGUUAAACAGUACGUGAAAUUGUCAAAAGGGAAGCGUUUGACACCAGUGUUGUUUUUCUGAAAAUCAAUUAAAGAACUGUUUAUGCUAAGUUGUUUAGACUUUAUCAGCUAACUGUUUAGUUUUGAGCUUUUCUUUAAUGCACUUUUCAGUUAACAAGUCAACAUCAAUUUCUUUUGCUGUAAAAAAGCUUGAGGAAGGUGGCUUGAGAUUCGUCUUAAGUGUUUAUAGCCUCUUGCCUAUGCAGUCGGAGAGAUUGAGGUCUGCAGCGUAGAUCCUUCGGGGCUAAAUGCAUUUGUGCUAAGUUAUAGCAUUUUCAUAGACAACUUGUUGACUAUGAUUUGUCUUGUAGCUUACUCGCUUAUGUUAUUUUACCUACGCUUAGGAUGUUGAUCUGUAGUGCGUGCGC
rnacentral:rRNA from 1 species